AGAUGGUGGCCUCCCCAUUUCCGGCCAGAGGAGCCUAGAGCCCGGGGCCCCACUCCUCAGUGCACUCUCAGAGAAUAGCACCAAAUUACUCCCAUCUCUGUGGCCUCUGGCCACACUCUGAGCUCACCAAGCCUGUGACCGGUUCAAGGAUGCUUUGUCACUGACGAUGUGGACCUAGCAUUAUACUGGGAAUACAGGUGGUUCAAGCUGGGGCUCUGGAAGCCCACAGAAGGAACAGCAAACACCAUAUCCAACAGGUCUUCAUGGCAGAAGG